AAUUUUGGACAAUGGGGGAAACCCUGAUCCAGCCAUCCCGCGUGUAUUAUGAAGGCCUUCCGGUUGUAAAGUACUUUUGGCAGAGAAGAAAAGGUAUCUUCUAUGACGAGAUAGUGCUGACGGUAUCUGCAGAAUAAGCACCGGCUACCUACGUGCAAGCAGCCGCGGUAAUACGUAGGGUGCUAGCGACAACCGGAAAUACUGGGCGUAAGGGGUGUGUAGGCGGUACGGAAAGGAAGAAGUGAAAGCCCAGGGCUCAACCGUGGAACUGCAUUUUUAACUGCCGAGCUAGAGUAUGUCAGAGGGGGGUAGAAUUCCACGUGUAGCAGUGAAAUGCGUAGAUAUGUGGAGGAAUACCGAUGGCGAAGGCAGCCCCCUGGGAUAAUACUGACGCUCAGACACGAAAGCGUGGGGAGCAAACA
rnacentral:rRNA from 1 species